CGCGUUUAAGGUCGCGAAUAAACUUCGCCUUCCGCAGUUGUCUUCGCUUCCUCUCAAGAAAAAGAAUCUUCGGAUACACCACAACGGUUAUAACGAAUGCCCCAUUCUAUAGAUAGGGUCUGGAGUGCCCCAGGAGAAUAUGUAGAAGUAAACAACAUCGGUUCUAAUGUACGAUUGUAUUCUUGUUGCUGUCGAUUUGCUCAAGACGGCAAGGACCUAAUUUAUCCGAGAGAGUUGAGUCGAGUCGAGCCUUCUUUUCUCAAGAACCGUCCUAGGACCACUCCUAUCUCUCAUCUUCAUCAUCUUCUUGUCGGCUUGGUAUCUUAAAGCAGUGGAGAAAAAUUGGUCCUGUGUUAUCAUAAGCCGCAGACCUAGCUAUGACGCGUCUCUUGGAUCCCCGAGCAGCGCUCGUUUAAUAGUGACCAAAUACACGGUGUGUUUCGCAAGGGAGGAGGAGCUUUGUUUGGUGGCUCGUUCCAAGGGUACAUCCCAGCUCGUUUGCCGUUCCAUUACCGUUUCGCAGACAGUGCAGCCUACUUCCACACCCGGACCAGGAGCUGAAUGUAUAUCGUCGACAUGGCCGGCUGACUGCAUAGUAGAUCAUGUGCGGCACGGGCCGGGCCGGGCCGCCAUGCCCUCCUAUUCAGAACUUGCUUACAGAGCGCUGACAGUCGGCGAGGAAGAUCGCAACUCGUAGAAGCAAGAGCGCUACAUCCCGCAACGAGGCUGGCGUACGGACAACCAAUUAGGAACGGUUCGUCCGUCGUGUUGAUACGUCCGGGCGAAGAAGAAAAGUACGUCGGAAGUCUCGUGUUCCCAGCAAGUAUCGAUGAAACUCGUUCCCCAGAAUGGAAGAACCAUGUUCAGAUCCCGGUCGUAGCCGUUGUCGGCUACGUCGUCGACGUACUCUUCACUCCUGGACGCCCAAACACACGGGGAGAAAAGAGAAAUUGUGCUUUUCCUGUAGCUGCUUCCUCAGCCCCGGGUACAUAUCGGACGGGUGUCAACAAAGGGCUCCGCUGAAACGGACCCUUCGUGCGUGGUCCAGCGUGAAAGUAAUUUUUCUGUAACCCUCGCGACGACUCAGCCUCGGACCAUUGUCAACCGUGUUUGCAUGCUAGUCUGAAGCGAGAUUUAGGCCCGGCUAGCUCUAUGCUCUUGCCGUUCGUUGAUACACCGAGACUACUGGGUACACAAUGCGACAAAAUAGGCUCCGAUAGAGAGUUUAUGGGAGCUGUGCGAACGAAUGGAUCUGCAACAGCUCGAGAGUAAAAUGGUUAUAUCAAAGGAGAAGAUGCAAACUUUUUCACGGCAUAUUUCCCGUCAUGCAACGGUGUUCGCUGACGAGGGACGAUGUCGACGGUGACGAAUAACAGAGUCGUGCGCGCACGUUUUCGCCAACGAAGCGCGUCAAGGCUUGGGCCUUUGAAUUAUCGAAGUGUAAUUCAAUGGAGCACGGUUAUCCUGGAACAGCUGUGCAUCGAUGGGAAAUCGCGCUGGCAAGAAUAUCCGCAUUGGAUGCGGAUGGUCCAUUUAUCUAGCGAGGCAGAGGGAUCUAGGAGAUCAAUGAUCGAUCUAACGCGGUCCAGCGAAAAUAAUAGAGAGAUAAGAAGAAGGAGAAGUCCGUUUUGAAAAUGGCUGCAAUGUGCAGUUCCUUGAAUAACACCAGGAAGCGGAUACUGCCCCCGCGUUGUUGGAUCCGAGUGUGCGCCGAUCGCUGAUCACACGGAAAACAAACGCCGGAAGGAAGAAAUAACUUUCUCCGGAAGGCGCGUUGCGGGAGACCCGGUGUAUAGCAAAUUCUUGGAACAAAUGAAAGGAAACCAGAAGAACGAGUAACAACAGCAGCAGCGUCGAAGGAAAGACAUAUGGCGAAGCAAUCUUUCUUCUGGGUGUAAAAUUUGCUCUAUAGCGCGCAGCGAGUUACGAUAGCAUCGCGGAGGAUAGACAGAAAUGCACCGAAGAUCCAAGGAUAAUGCUUCGUCCACAUUCUGCAGACUUUAAACCAACAACUUCUGCAAGUCCACAGUUUAAAGAACCACGAAGAUACGAAAUAUUUCACAGUAAACGGAUGGGAGGAGAUAAUUAAUAUUUUCAUUUAUCGGCAGAUGACACCCUAUGACGGCCGACAGAGCAUGCGAACGACCGGGAUGGAACAGGGACACUGGGGGUGCCGAGCAGCGAAGCAAUUAAUCAGGACGAUUAAUCAAUCGAAUCUCGAUUCAGUUCGCGCGAAGGUAUAAAUCCCGGCGUGGCGUGUUUGCGACUGUCGCGCACGCUCGCACGCACCGGCGGAAACUUAAUUACAUAUGACUCAACAUAAUGUCGCAUAAUUGUACAUAAAAGAGCCUUAAUUGCCAAUUAUUAAUUGCUCGUUAAUGCGGUAGUGCCUCCACGAUAGACCACCCUCAGCUCUUAUUCAACGUCCUCUGAAAGACAGUUGAUGGACCAGCGUCGAUGCACUACCGUGGACAUGUUCAGAGGUGCUAUAUCCUAUCAGGCAGAUUA